AGGCAGCUCCGGAGGGGCGGAGGCCGGAGGCCGCACUCGGGCCCCUUCCCCUUCCCCAGACAGACAAGGCGGAGAAAACCCUGCGGGCAAUUCUGCUCCUCACCUUCCUUCCCUCUGGCUGCGCAGGCUGCACAGGCCCCAGACAUCCAUGUGCCAGGGGCUGGCCAGGCCCCAGCUUCUUGCUGCCCCCACAAGGCAGGGCUGGAAGGCGGUCCCCCCAGUGAUCCCGCUGGGCCCUAGAAACAGAGCCUUGCUUACGGUUGUCAAAAACACAUUUCCCGGCCCUGGUUUCUCAAAGCCAAAGCCCUCGGCAUCCAACAACCAGGAAUUCUAAUUCCAGCAGGCAUCUUUGGGGCACUUCUGGUGUUUUGAAGACGAAGCGGAGACUCAGGGCCAGGAAGAGGGUAUGUGGCAAAUCCAGCAAUGAGGAAGAAGCCUUCCAGACAUUUCCCUACAGAAAUAAAUCACCCCACAGACAGGAUCUUCAACUUUGGGGGAAUCCGGAGGUGUUUUGGGGGACAUGACUCUGGACACGUUUCCCAGGAGCAGCUGUCUUCCUCUCAGGCUCUCAGGUGCACGCAGGUAAUAAUUGUCCUAUUAUGACCCACAUCAUUGCCCUGAUCUCUAGAGCGAGAUGUACCCUUAGCCUUCCCAUAACCCCCAUUCAUACUGUUGCUUCCUAGCUGGACUGGCAUCUCUGUGGGCAGGGCUCAGUGUGCCUGGCUCCCCUCUGAAUCUCCAGUGCCUACCUUAGGCUGACACAUAUUCCAUUUUCGACAGCGUCUCUGGGUUGAUAGAGGAGGAAAGUGCAGUGGACAUGUUAUGCAGUUUCAGCAAAACAUGAGAAAACACCCAGCAAGAUUUGUAUGGACAAUAUGGUGAAGGAGUGCCUGGGUGGCACAGUCAGUUAAGCAUCUGUCUCCUGGCUCCAGCUCAGGUCAGGAUCUCAGAGUCAUGAGAUCAAGCCCCAAGAUGGGCU